rnacentral:rRNA from 1 species
GGUUAAGCGACUAAGCGUACACGGUGGAUGCCCUGGCAGUCAGAGGCGAUGAAGGACGUGCUAAUCUGCGAAAAGCGUCGGUAAGGUGAUAUGAACCGUUAUAACCGGCGAUGUCCGAAUGGGGAAACCCAGUGCAAUUCGUUGCACUAUCGUUAACUGAAUACAUAGGUUAACGAGGCGAACCGGGGAACUGAAACAUCUAAGUACCCCGAGGAAAAGAAAUCAACCGAGAUUCCCCAGUAGCGGCGAGCGAACGGGGAGCAGCCCAGAGUCUGAAUCAGCUUGUGUGUUAGUGGAACGGUCUGGAAAGUCCGACGGUACAGGGUGAUAGUCCCGUACACCAAAAUGCACAGGCUGUGAACUCGAAGAGUAGGGCGGGACACGUGGUAUCCUGUCUGAAUAUGGGGACCAUCCUCCAAGGCUAAAUACUCCUGACUGACCGAUAGUGAACCAGUACCGUGAGGGAAAGGCGAAAAGAACCCCGGCGAGGGAGUGAAAAAGAACCUGAAACCGUGUACGUACAAGCAGUGGGAGCACCUUCGGGUGUGACUGCGUACCUUUGUAUAAUGGGUCAGCGACUUAUAUUCUGUAGCAAGGUUAACCGUAUAGGGAGCCGCAGGGAAACCGAGUCUUAACUGGGCGUUAAGUUGCAGGGUAUAGACCCGAAACCCGGUGAUCUAGCCAUGGGCAGGUUGAAGGUUGGGUAACACUAACUGGAGGACCGAACCGACUAAUGUUGAAAAAUUAGCGGAUGACUUGUGGCUGGGGUGAAAGGCCAAUCAAACCGGGAGAUAGCUGGUUCUCCCGAAAGCUAUUUAGGUAGCGCCUCGUGAACUCAUCUUCGGGGUAGAGCACUGUUUCGGCUAGGGGUCAUCCCGACUUACCAACCCGAUGCAAACUACGAAUACCGAAGAAUGUUAUCACGGGAGACACACGGCGGGUGCUAACGUCCGUCGUGAAGAGGGAAACAACCCAGACCGCCAGCUAAGGUCCCAAAGUCAUGGUUAAGUGGGAAACGAUGUGGGAAGGCACAGACAGCCAGGAUGUUGGCUUAGAAGCAGCCAUCAUUUAAAGAAAGCGUAAUAGCUCACUGGUCGAGUCGGCCUGCGCGGAAGAUGUAACGGGGCUAAACCAUGCACCGAAGCUGCGGCAGCGACACUAUGUGUUGUUGGGUAGGGAGCGUUCUGUAAGCCUGCGAAGGUGUGCUGUGAGGCAUGCUGGAGGUAUCAGAAGUGCGAAUGCUGACAUAAGUAACGAUAAAGCGGGUGAAAAGCCCGCUCGCCGGAAGACCAAGGGUUCCUGUCCAACGUUAAUCGGGGCAGGGUGAGUCGACCCUAAGGCGAGGCCGAAAGGCGUAGUCGAUGGGAAACAGGUUAAUAUUCCUGUACUUGGUGUUACUGCGAAGGGGGACGGAGAAGGCUAUGUUAGCCGGGCGACGGUUGUCCCGGUUUAAGCAUGUAGGCUGAUUGUCCAGGCAAAUCCGGAUAAUCAAGGCUGAGGUGUGAUGACGAGGCACUACGGUGCUGAAGUAACAAAUGCCCUGCUUCCAGGAAAGCCUCUAAGCAUCAGGUAACAUUAAAUCGUACCCCAAACCGACACAGGUGGUCAGGUAGAGAAUACCAAGGCGCUUGAGAGAACUCGGGUGAAGGAACUAGGCAAAAUGGUGCCGUAACUUCGGGAGAAGGCACGCUGGUGUGUAGGUGAAGUCCCUGCGGAUGGAGCUGAGACCAGUCGAAGAUACCAGCUGGCUGCAACUGUUUAUUAAAAACACAGCACUGUGCAAACACGAAAGUGGACGUAUACGGUGUGACGCCUGCCCGGUGCCGGAAGGUUAAUUGAUGGGGUUAUCCGUAAGGAGAAGCUCUUGAUCGAAGCCCCGGUAAACGGCGGCCGUAACUAUAACGGUCCUAAGGUAGCGAAAUUCCUUGUCGGGUAAGUUCCGACCUGCACGAAUGGCGUAAUGAUGGCCAGGCUGUCUCCACCCGAGACUCAGUGAAAUUGAACUCGCUGUGAAGAUGCAGUGUACCCGCGGCAAGACGGAAAGACCCCGUGAACCUUUACUAUAGCUUGACACUGAACAUUGAGCCUUGAUGUGUAGGAUAGGUGGGAGGCUUUGAAGCGUGGACGCCAGUCUGCGUGGAGCCAACCUUGAAAUACCACCCUUUAAUGUUUGAUGUUCUAACGUUGGCCCCUGACCGGGGUUGCGGACAGUGUCUGGUGGGUAGUUUGACUGGGGCGGUCUCCUCCCAAAGCGUAACGGAGGAGCACGAAGGUUAGCUAAUCCUGGUCGGACAUCAGGAGGUUAGUGCAAUGGCAUAAGCUAGCUUGACUGCGAGCGUGACGGCGCGAGCAGGUGCGAAAGCAGGUCAUAGUGAUCCGGUGGUUCUGAAUGGAAGGGCCAUCGCUCAACGGAUAAAAGGUACUCCGGGGAUAACAGGCUGAUACCGCCCAAGAGUUCAUAUCGACGGCGGUGUUUGGCACCUCGAUGUCGGCUCAUCACAUCCUGGGGCUGAAGUAGGUCCCAAGGGUAUGGCUGUUCGCCAUUUAAAGUGGUACGCGAGCUGGGUUUAGAACGUCGUGAGACAGUUCGGUCCCUAUCUGCCGUGGGCGCUGGAGAAUUGAGGGGGCUGCUCCUAGUACGAGAGGACCGGAGUGGACGCAUCACUGGUGUUCGGGUUGUCAUGCCAAUGGCACUGCCCGGUAGCUAAAUGCGGAAGAGAUAAGUGCUGAAAGCAUCUAAGCACGAAACUUGCCCCGAGAUGAGUUCUCCCUGAGACUUUAAGUCUCCUGAAGGAACGUUAAAGACGAUGACGUUGAUAGGCCGGGUGUGUAAGCGCAGCGAUGCGUUGAGCUAACCGGUACUAAUGAACCGUGAGGCUUAACCUU